rnacentral:rRNA from 1 species
UGGCGACCGGCGCACGGGUGAGUAACACGUAUCCAACCUGCCGAUGACUCGGGGAUAGCCUUUCGAAAGAAAGAUUAAUACCCGAUGGCAUAGUUCUUCCGCAUGGUAGAACUAUUAAAGAAUUUCGGUCAUCGAUGGGGAUGCGUUCCAUUAGCUUGUUGGCGGGGUAACGGCCCACCAAGGCAUCGAUGGAUAGGGGUUCUGAGAGGAAGGUCCCCCACAUUGGGACUGAGACACGGCCCAGACUCCUACGGGAGGCAGCAG